rnacentral:rRNA from 1 species
UCUAACCUAAGAGUUUGAUCCUGGCUCAGAACGAACGCUGGCGGCAUGCCUAACACAUGCAAGUCGAACGCUAUCUUUGAUAGAGUGGCGCACGGGUGAGUAACGCGUGGGAACCUGCCUUUUUCUGCGGGACAACGGUUGGAAACGACCGCUAAUACCGCAUACGCCCUACGGGGGAAAGGUCCGCCGGAGAAAGAGGGGCCCGCGUUUGAUUAGCUUGUUGGUAGGGUAAUG